UACGGCAUGGUCUAGGGGUUAGGAUAGCUGGCUCUCACCCAGCAGGCCCGGUUUCGAUUCCCGGUGUCGGAA
rnacentral:tRNA from 1 species